UACUCAUAUAUUGAUUUUUUUUUUAUAUCCAUCUAGUAUCUAUAGUCUAUACUAUAAUACAGUAACAACUGCCAAUGCAAUUAUGUCUGACCGUCUGUUCUUUGAACAAUACGUAUUACCAUUUACCAGUAAUAAACGAAAAUGUUUGUAAAUAUUGUUUUAUUUUAGCCGCAUUAUUGUAGUAUAGUUUAGAACAUCAAAUUUACAUUAAUAAAUUGAUUAUGUCUAAUGGCGUAUUUAAAACUUCUAAUUUCAAAAUAAUUACCUACAUUAAUGGUCAUUCUAACUCAAGUUUCAAGGUCUGUUGGUUAAAGAAAAUUAUUUUUAAGGUAUACAAUAUCAAGAUACAAAUAAGAGGAAUGCAACCUUUGUGCCGAAGGAUAGCAGUAACAAUGGUUUAUGGUGUGACCAAGCCACCAAGGGUCUUGACCACCCGUGGGUUGGUAAGCGAAGCGAGCCGGGGUCAGAGUAAAUAUGAAUUACGAGAACAAAUAGUUAUAUAAAUAAAAAAGAUAACAUGGUUUUCGCUCAGAAUCAUUGUACACAAUUAUUUGUAUAAUUUAUACUCACAUUUAAAACUUACUAUACAGCAGAGCCA